CAACGAAUCUUCCGCAAUGGGCGCAAGCCUGACGGAGCGACGCCGCGUGUGGGUUAAGUUCUUCGGAAUGUAAACCACUGUUAGGGUUAUGAAAGCGAUGGAGGAUAAUAUACUCCAAAGUUGAUCUAGCCCAGAGAAAGGGACGGCUAACUCUGUGCCAGCAGCCGCGGUAAUACAGAGGUCCCAAGCGUUACUGAGAUUCACUGGGUUUAAAGGGUGCGUAGGUGGUGCGUUAAGUCAGUUGUGAAAUCCCCGGGCUCAACCCGGGAAUAGCUUCUGAUACUGGCGUGCUUGAGGCCGGUAUAGGUUACUGGAACGGACGGUGGAGCGGUGAAAUGCGUAGAUAUCGUCUGGAACGCCAGUGGUGAAGACGGGUAACUAGGCCGGUUCUGACACUGAGGCACGAAAGCGUGGGGAGCGAACGGG
rnacentral:rRNA from 1 species